rnacentral:rRNA from 1 species
UACGAAGGGGGGCUAGCGUUGCUCGGAAUUACUGGGCGUAAAGCGCACGUAGGCGGCUUUCUAAGUCGGAGGUGAAAUCCUGGAGCUCAACUCCAGAACUGCCUUCGAUACUGGAGCUUGAGUCCGGGAGAGGUGAGUGGAACUGCGAGUGUAGAGGUGAAAUUCGUAGAUAUUCGCAAGAACACCAGUGGCGAAGGCGGCUCACUGGCCCGGUACUGACGCUGAGGUGCGAAGCGUGGGGAGCAAACAGG